rnacentral:lncRNA from 1 species
UGGGUUUACCUACAUUCGCGCGUAUCAAACUCUCCCCUAUACAAAACAUGAUGUUAGAAUUCAAAUAUAUUUUACUAAUAAUUACAUAAAAAUAUUGUUUGUUAUAGUUGUCAAUUUUUUACAAAUCAAACUCAAACUAGAUUUGUUCAAACUAACAUUUAAUGUGAUUUUUUUUAGGUGCAUACCAAUAGAAGUUCAACAAUGGAAUUUAGAGCCACAACUUUGUGUGAUAAGAUAAAGGAGUUGAUUUAUGGACCAUCUUGCAAUAAUGAUAUAGAACCACAACAACAUUUAUGGGACUACAAAAUUGAAUUCGAUGCAGUGGAAUUAUUACCAACAAUAAGUCAAAAUCCAAACAUGUAUAAUUACAUGCAAAAUAUUUAUGAAACUCCUAGUUUUUUCUAAGCUAAAGUAGUUUUUCAUUUGGACAUGGAAAUAAUUGAGAUAAUGUAAAAUUUCAUCUCCUAGUUUAGUAUCUUUAUUUAAGCAUAUUUUGUUUGUUGUCAGCCAAUUCUUUGGUUUUAGGAUUACAUAAGUUCUCUUAGCUCUAUUUCAACUUUUGAUAAUUAUGAGCAUACUUAGUUUGAAGGAAAUUAUUUUUCACUGAGAAAAGAUUUUCUAAAAAUAAAUUAUCUUUUGUACUUAUUUUAAUGUUUGAUAUGUAAAUAAAAAAUAUUGUCCCAAAACCAAUAACUUGGACAAAUGCUGUGAAUGUUCUAUGAAAGUGAAGGUGGGGUGGGUGGGGGUGGAGGGAGAGGAGGGGGUUGGGGGUCGAUUUCAACUUCAUUUUCGAUGAAAUUUUAUAUUUAAACUCCUUAAGUUAUGGAUAGCCGGAAGAAGGCAGAGUUUUGGGGAUACCAAAAGCAGGGCCAGAGGCUCUGCGGUGUAGUGGUCGAUCUAGAAUAGUAUAUACGGUUCACAAAAAUUCAGUAGCUUUUUCUCAACUCUGUAUAUUUAUUAAGGUAUAUACUUUAUAAAUAUCUAUAAAUAUUUGAGUACCCAUUAUUUUUGUGUAUUUAUAACUUGAGGAGUUGAGGUUAUCGUAGGAACCCAACAAACAACAACAAUAGCAUACCCAUAAUAGUUAGCAAAGAAUGCAAGAACAAAAAAAGAAUUAUAAUGAAAAUAUUAACGACAAAAAAGCACUAGUGAUAACAAAAAUGGUAAAUAGUAAAGAUAAUUAGAGUAAAAAAUCACAAUAGAAAAUAGUAAAAAUAACCAAAGUAAGAAAUAACAGUUAUAUAAAAUAAAGGAAUAAGAGUCCCUUCGGAGAUCCAAUAAAAUUGAAUGAUACAGAUGAAAAGAUUAGCAUGCUCCUGUGCUUGAAUGACAGACACAAAUCUAGAAAUGAUCCUCAAAAAAUUUACUAAUAAUAGAGAUAUAAGAUAAUAAUAUCAUAAUAAUGAAGUAGAAAUUUACAAACUUUAAAUUUCAAAUCGAAUUGUGACUCAUAACCUCAUGUUGAAACAAAUUAUGAGGAAUCUAAACUUAGUAGCCUUUUGACCAUGAGUAACUUUUCAACUUUUAUUCGAAAAACUAUUUCACUUUAGUGAAAAAAAUGAAAAUCACAGUGCUUGGUCAUGAAAAUUCCAAAUAUGAUUUGAAAUUGUAUUUUGAAAAAGUGAAUAUAAGAAAAACUUGUUUAGAAAAACUUGUUUUUACUUUUUUCACUUCUAUUUUUCUCACAAUAUUUUAAAAACAACUUUAAUUUAUAUUCACGAUCAAACACAACUCCAACUCCAACUUCAGCUCCAACUCUAUUUCCAACUCCGAAAAAUUAUAUUUUCAUGGCCAAAGUGGCCUUAGUCUUGCAAUUGGGGCCGUCGAAUCCAACAAAAGAGGCUCUUGAAAGAAAAUUUUAAUUUUUUCUUUCUUUGAAAAUACCAAAAUUAAAAGGGUUGUCUUGAAAAGGACAAAAAGAAAUGUAAUAUCUACAGAAAAUAAUAAAAUUAUCUAGGAAGAAAGAAAUAUCUACAAAUGUAAAUUCAUUUGUGUCCAUAGAUAAAAUGCUAAUAGAAGGCAACUAUGGCCAGGGGAACCAGAAAAGAGCCAACAUCAUUAGACUUUGAGUCCAUAACUUGAACGUACUUUAGCAUGUUUUUUAAUUCUAAAAAUUACACAAAUACACAAUUUAUGAUUUCAAUAUUACAAAAAAUCCCAACUCCUUAAACAUAUUAUAAAAAUUCCAACAUAUACACAAAAUGCUAUAUAUAUAUAUCGACUAUGUUAUGUAUAUAAUAGGGAGAGCGAGUAAAAUAAUUAAAAAAAUGAAAGAAAAUAUAAUUACUUUCAAAAAGUUGGUAUUUAUGUUAUUUAUACUUUUUAAUUUAUGUGACACACUUUUUCUUCACAGUAUAUUUCAAAAAAAAUAUGCUACUUCGUUAUUUUCAAGAUAAUAUGAGAUAAUUUAAAGUUAUGCUUUAUAAAAGGUCGUUUCAUAUUCAAUUAUAUACUAUUACAUAAGGGCGGAUUUAGGUGUAAAUAUUUAGUGAUUCGGCAUCCGUUAAAUUUAUCAUAAAUUAGGUAUAAUUAUAUAAAAACACCCUUAAAAGUUGAAACUAAAAAACCCCCUUUUUUAUCCAAAAAGAUUAAAUUUUAAAUUUGAAAGGAUUUUUAUUAUCAAAGUAACAAAACAAAAAAAAAAUUCGAAAAAAAAUUAUUUACAUUUUAUUCAGAUUCGCCACUUCAUAUAAACUCGAUGUGCCAAGUCACCUUUGAAAUUUUUUUUCUAAACUGUUUAACUCUUUGAAAACUGAUUUGUGAACAGAGAUCCUCAUUAAGGAACUCUGUUGACCGAAAAGAAGGUGUAAAGCACUCUUCGAUUCUGUAGUUCGACUACGGUCGCUUUGCAGAACGUAUCGACUAUUUAGGCACGACGAAUGUAUAAAUCACACAAAAAACACAUCAAACAAUCAAACAAUCCAAAAUAUAAUGUCCAGUUCAAUUAUACAGUCCAAAAGAAAAAUAAAAUGCGGAAAAAUAUAAACCUACGGUAUUCUUAACUACGCUCCAACGCUUUACCCGAUGCCUCGAGCCUUGAUCACGAACCUCCUUCAGAGACAUAAUACGUCAGGGUAUUCCCUGAUGAAUAAAUACAUAAAACCUCAGGGCAUUCCCCGAUGAAUAAAUACAUGAAACCUCAUGGCAUUCCCUGGCCAAAUGAUUACACUUGAAUCAAAGACGAUAAACUAGAAAACAUUCAACACACAUCCCACAAUCCAACAUUCAAUAAAAACACUAUUCCUAAAUUUUUGGCUACUCAAACCUACAUUUGUCUAUUUAUUCAACAUAUCAUAAUUCCAUCACUUUUAAUAUCAUCCAUACCUCAAAAUUAAUCGAUAUUUAUUUUCAUAUCAAUUCCCAACAUCCAACCCCAAAUUACAUUUUAAACAUACAACUUCCACGAGAUAAUUAUCCAUGCCUUAACAAGAAAACUCCUAUCACAAUCAAUUGUUCGACAUCAAACACCCGCCAAAUCACCCAAUUUCAAUCAUCAAGUGCAUAAACAUCAACGAAAUUAAACAAUCAUAAUCAACAAACACAUAAUUAUAGUCAAUUCAACAAAUCAAGAUAAAGAAAAGAGAACGGGUUUAAAAAAUGACCUUCCCAUGAUUGAUUUUCGUUGAUAAUAGUGUUUAAGAAAUCCGAGCUCGAAAUCCCGAAUAAAAAACCUCGAAGACGAACACACCAAAUCAGUGUAGAGAAAUCCAAUUCGAAGAAAUCCUCCCUGAUUCGAACAGACGAAUAAACCCGCAAAAAGAUCGAAUCAAUCGAAUAAAUUGAGAAAAAUCCGUGCACGAUUUCACCGACUCCCUUUCAAUCGUUUCUUCGCUCCUUUACUUCUCACUAUUCUAUUCCCUCUCUCGAUUUAUCUAUCGUUUCUCCAUUUCCUCUUCUUCAAUUUUUUUCCAAAAUCUCGUCUAGGUGUGUUAUAUCAAGAAGAGUCCAUUUUUCGUGGGAAUUUUGUGUUUCUGGGUAUAUUGAAUCUCAAAUCUGUGUGUGGUCGUGAGGGUGAGUCCCAAAAAGGAAAGAAGAAAAGAAGAUGACGGUGGACUACUCCCCUCAGAGAAUUGGGACCUCUGUGAGCAUAUAUCGUCCAGAAGAAGGAAAAAAGGGGGAAAAUAUGGAGUCCUUGCCUUCCUCUUUUUUUUAAUUUUUUUUGUCGCUGGAUCUUUCCUUUUUGGAGAUGAUUGAGAAUAUCCCCUUUUCCGAGAAAAAUGAGCUACAAGGCCUUUACAAGUUUCCAAUUAUAAAAAAAAAAAAAAUAGGAUAAGUGGACCACAAAUUUGUCCCUUACAAAAAC